CGACGUUGCUCCAAAAUGGCAGUUUUUGUCUUUCGGUGCCGGACUUUUGAGAAAUUACAAAAUUGCCACCGUGAUGUUUUGGCCCCUUUUGGCCCGAAUUACGAUUCGACACCCAAGCGGAACAGUUUCGGCAGCGGUGCGAGUUCUUCAAUGAACUGGAUGGUGCUGCUCAACCAUCGCCGGCGUAACCCACGCACGAAGGAGGUUCCUUUCUUCUUCGACGGCGUUACGACGGCAUCGCACCCACGAGCGUCGGCAACUUCAAUUUCCGGCGAAUUCCGGCGUUUGCCUUGAAUGGUGGCGUGUGUAGCUUCUUCUCCCUUUCUUCUGGCGAGUCUACGCUCCAGCGGACUCAGAUGUGAACUCCCACACAGUUUCAACAUUGUUCCAGUGGCUGUUCUCCAGUUUGUACAAGAUUCGACACUAUCCCAUUCUCAAUCAACUUUAAAUUAGUAACUGAACGCCUGCAAAUUCUACAGGGUUAAGCAUUUUUGAACACAAAGCUGAACUGUUCGAUGCUGCUUGGUGGCAUCCCGAAGGUCACAUGCUUUUCGGUGAGACUGUGUGAGAAAGAGGUACGAAUGUCUCGUGCAAUUAUAAAAGAAAGUUGGGUGAAUAUCAAAUGUGUCUUGAGUGAGUAAUGAAGAAGCUCCAAUAUGCCAUGCAUAGUUUGAAAACAAUUGCUGAAAGUGCUUCUCAAGACCUCCUUGAAUACAAUCGCUUGCUUGCUGAGCUCAAGCGUUCAAGUCGCUACAUAGACUCUUUGCAACUCUUUACUCAGAUCCAUUCAUCAUAUUGCUCCAAUAUCAAGCCUGACCACUACAAUCUCUCCACUACACUCGCUGUUUGUGCCAACUUUCGUGACAUUGCUUUCGGGUCUCAGCUCCAUGGUUAUGCUAUUCGAUCCGGGCUCAAAUUCUACCCUCAUGUUGCAAACACCGUUCUCUCACUUUAUUCCAAAAUAGAGGAUUUUGUGUCUUUGAAAAGGGGAUUCCAAGAGAUUGAGAAACCAGAUGUUUAUUCUUGGACUACGCUGUUGUCAGCUUGUAUGAAAAUGGGUCAUAUUGAAUAUGCAUCUGAGAUGUUUGAUAUAAUGCCAAAAGGUAAUGUUGCAUGUUGGAAUGCUAUGAUAACUGGGAGUGCAGAAAGUGGACAUGAUUGGGUUGCCAUGAACACCUUUUAUGAAAUGCACAAAAUGGGUGUUAAGCCUGAUAAUUACUCUUUUGCUUGUAUCUUGAGUUUGUGUACCAAGGAAAUUGAAGAUUUGGGAAGACAGGUCCAUUCUUCAGUGAUUAAAGCUGGAUAUCUUAGAAAAACUUCUGUGAUUAAUGCUUUGAUUACUAUGUAUUUUAGUAUUGAGAAUCUUGAGGAUGCCUAUGAAGUUUUUGAGGGAACUGAAUCUGAGGUUCAUGAUCAGAUUACGUAUAAUGUAAUGAUAGAUGGUUUGGUCUGCAUAAGAAGGAAUGAAGAGGCCUUGAUUAUGUUCAAGGAUAUGAAAAGGGCAUGUCUAAGUCCUACUGAGCUCACCUUUGUAAGCAUUAUGAGCUCAUGUUCAAUUAUACGGGUUGCCCAACAAGUACACUCCCAAGCCAUUAAGCUAGGGUUUGAAUCUUUUACUUUAGUAGGUAAUUCGACCAUAACCAUGUACUCUUCUUGUGGGGAGUUUCAAGCAGCAAAUGCAGUUUUCCAGAUGCUAAUAGAGAAAGAUCUCAUCUCAUGGAAUGCCAUAAUCUCGAGCUACGUCCAAGGAAAUUUUGGCAAAUCAGCUGUUCUUGCUUUUCUACAAAUGCAGAGGACUGGAAUUGGGCCAGAUGAGUUCACCUUUGGAAGCUUAUUAGGAGUUUCAGAGUUCAUUGAGAUACUGGAAAUGGUUCAUGCCUUUGUAUAUAAAAAUGGGUUGAUCCUCGUAAUCGAAAUUUUAAACGCAUUAGUUUCUGCAUACGCAAAGUGUAGGAAGGUUAAACAGUCUCAUCAAGUAUUUAGUGAAAUCAAUUCAAAAAAUUUGAUCUCUUGGAACACCGUCAUUUAUGGAUUUCUGUUAAAUGGGCUUCCAUUCCAAGCAUUGGAGCAUUUUUCUAAGCUCAUAAUGUCAAAGCUCAAGCCAAGCACAUUUACACUCAGCAUUGUCUUGAGCAUUUGUGCAAAUAUUUCAACCUUGGACAUCGGAAAACAAAUUCAUGGGUACAUUCUCAGAUCGGGAAACUCUUCUGAAACUUCCCUAUGCAAUGGCCUUAUUACAAUGUAUUCUAAAUGUGGGCUGUUAGGUUGGUCUUUGAAAACUUUUAAUGUCAUGAUUGAAAGGGAUAUUGUAUCAUGGAAUUCUAUAAUAUCUGCUUAUGCGCAACAUGGGCAGGGGAAGGAAGCUGUGCAUUGUUUCAAGGCUAUGCGAGACAUGCCCUCAAUCAUGCCUGAUCAGGCCACAUUUACCACUAUUCUUUCAGCUUGCAGCCAUGCCGGAUUAGUUGAGGAAGCCUGUCAGAUUUUGGAUACAAUGUUGAUAGAUUAUCAUGUUGUCCCUAGUAUGGAUCAGUUAUCUUGCAUUGUCGACCUUAUAGGUCGUUCAGGUUACAUUGAUCAGGCUGAAAGUGUAAUCGAAAGUGCACAAUAUGGGGAGCAUACACACGUUUGGUGGGCGUUGUUUAGUGCCUGUGCAGCUCAUGAAAACUUAAGGCUGGGAAGAAUUGUUGCGAGAAUCCUUCUAGAGAAAGAACGGGAGAAUCCAUCUGUGUAUGUGGUUUUGUCAAAUAUAUAUGCUAGUGCUGGGUGUUGGGAAGAAGCAGCCAAUGUGAGGGAAUUGAUUAAGAAAACUGGUUCAAUGAAACAACCAGGCUGCAGUUGGAUCAGUUGUUCAGCUAAGAGUUGAGGAAAGACCACGAUCAAAUCGACUACAAAUAGGGAAAUGCAUUUGUCUUGGAGUUCAUAGAGAUCAUACCUGAUAAUCGAGUGUGAUUUGUUUGUCAUAGAUAUUGAGCAAUCAACCAUCGGUGGUUGGAAACUCGAGACUACUCUUCUUAGAAGUAUGAGGAAGAACGUCACACACAAGGUGAGCUGCUGUCAAUGUUGAAGAUCAAAGGACACGAACAAGUCAAGGAAGGCAUUAGAUGAUGUUUAAUUCAAGAGCAGGAAAGUAAAAGAUCAGAAGAAUGGACGAGAAUAAAGCCUUAGACUUGGAAACUUUAAAGGGAUAGCUUGAAGAAGGUGGAUCUGGGCUGCCUUGAAGAUCGUUGCUCGGGAAGCUAAAGCAAAUUGAAAGAAAUCAGCAAGCAAAGCAAAAUUUCGGAUCAAUAAGUAGUAGACCGGUGUUUUGAUAAUUUUGAACUGUGGAAGCGGGGUUAGAAGCUAAUAUUGGUCAGGUAGAAGACAAUGGACUAGUUAAUUUGCGAAUCUGGAGUAGUCUCUGAUGUUGGAAGCGGUUUGAGCUGAAAUUUUGAGUGAAGAUCGUAGACCCGUAAUGAUAGAAUUGCAGCCUCAAACUACUUGGAUAUGGCAGAACACUUAAAUAUUUGCUCUCAAUUCAACUCAAUAACAAAAGAAAGAAAGAAAGAAAGAAGAUCGUAGACCUGUGAUGAUAGAACUGUAGCCUCAAACUACUUGGAUAUGGCAGAACACUUAGAUAUUUGCUCUCAAUUCAACUUAAUUUAGUCGUUAUUUGAUUGCAAUCGAACAUAGCUCAUUCAAAUUGAGGAAACUAUAAAUUUAACUUUAAAACAUGUUAAAUAUGUUUUCAAUUUAAAAUUGCUUACAAAUGAGCUUAAUUUAUACAAUUGAAUCCGUUUCAUGUUUCAAUA